ensembl:lncRNA
CUCCGCCGGGGCUGUCCGCUCCCCCCUCCGGACGGAUACGGGGCGAGGCGGGGGGCGGCCAGGCCCCGCGGGGCCGUCACCGCACCCACCCCACCCCCUCCUGGAAAGAAGGGAGAGAGAUAACGGACACCCCGCAGGGUGUGCUCAGGGCCGAGGUGCAGGAGAUGGGUGAAAUCAAAUACGCCCGGAGGGCGCGGGGCUGCAGCCCCACCUGAGCUCCCAGCGCACCUGGGCACGGCCCGGCACGGCUGUGCGAGGCUGUCCCGCCCAGAGCAGCCCCGUAGUCACCCCCGCGCACACCUCGGCCUUAAGGACAGGAGACCCCCGGUGCCUGUGGGUCUGCCACGAAAGUCCCGGCGCUCAGCGAGCCGCCACGUGUGUUCGAACACGGACAAGUCGCCUCUUUUGCCCCCUGCCCCUCCAAAAGCGCAGUUUGCCCAACUUCUCUGCUUCUUCAUUUGCUGCGUCUCAGUCUUUAGCGUGGGAGAACCUGGAGAGGGACAGCCUGGGCUGCGCGUGGCGUGGGAUUAGCGGUAGCCCCGAGGAAGGCUGUACACGGGUUUAGAUUAGGAUAAAGCGUUUAUUGAUCGUUGCCUAGAGAUGCCCACUGCCGAAACGCUGAGUUCCUUCGCCCCUUCUCUUCGCUCUGCCUUCCUCCUCCUCCCCGCAAACCAAACUUAAAGUGAAAAGAAAAAAAAAAAAAAAAAAAGCACUGCGCUCUGCCAUUUCAGUCUAAACUCUUGGGUCCAUGUGCGAAAGAUAAAAAUGAAUUUGAAUCGCCAUUGGAAAAAAUCAGGAAUUGUAUGAGAUUUGCAAGAGCUGCUUUCUUAAACGGAAAUUGAGUCCUAUUUUGUGGGAAAUUAGUUUUGCAGACUUUCUGAAAAAAAAAAAAAUCUAAAACUUUUGUUCAGCAGCUGCUCCACUUUUCCCUGCAGUUUCAGGCUGAGCUGGAACCUGCAGCAGUCUUUCGACGGACUUCUGUAGCCUCGCUUGGUACUUUACGUUGGAGGCUAAAAGCACCAUCUUCCCGAGCAAUGCCAGAAUGUAUGCAGAGCAGCAUGCAGAACCGCAGUUUGUGUGGAGAGCACGAAUGAAGGCAAGAGAAAAAGUUACCAGACUGGCAGCAAUCCCAAGCUGCUCACACGCUGAUGUUCAGGACAGCACAUGUGGGUGCCACAUGAGCAGAGUCUAUACUGUCUGGAGAACAUGGGUUUAGGCUUUGCACUGUCACUGAACUAUUAACCUAAACUGCAUGGACACACUAUGCCAAAUAGCCAUGCAUUUGUUCAGCUGGUCCUGGCCCUUUUUAAAGCAAAACAUGGGGAAGUUUCUCAAGAAGAGAUACAGCAGAGGGUCACAGAGGGCACCUACCCCUUCGCUCCAGUUCUGACCUGAGGAGCACUGUGGGGCCCUGUUGUUUCUCCUGUCCGACACUACACACUCAGAGGGUGUUGAGCGCCACAGCCCUGAUCUCUUGCAUCACUUCUAAGAACUGCCAUCAUGUGAGCAAUAAAUGCCCAUCAGCGAAUAUUUCUCUCCACCGUCUCCUGCUGAAUGCAAGGCAGCUUGGAGCUUUGCCUCUUGUGAUAGAAGCCGUGUGUACCAUGAACACAAGCUGUUCACAAGACCACCUGCCUUUUCUUAACCGCGUGUAGAAUUGCCUACCAGGAAUCCCAGUGUGUUUUAUAUGUCAUUAAUAAAGUUAACAUUUCUAUUAAAUACUGCUCCUUUCUGGAAUUCUCACUCAACCUUGAGGAUAAUAAUCAAGAAAAAACUUUCUGUCAC